GGAGGAAGUGAGCAGGGCCGGGCGUGGUCUGCAGGCUAGAUCUAGUGCUUUAUCUACUGGGCGGCUGAGCUAGAGACUGCCGGUGCCUUCAUGGGCAGGACUAGGCCGAAAACUCCCCAGUGAGAUAAACAGUUAAGACGUUCACCAGUUCCUGUGGCAGAGGCUCUGGCUGUAUGGACGAAGGAAAGGUGUGUGCCUUGAUUCAAAUGCAAGUGAAACCAGCAUCUUUGCAGGAACAUGGAAAGGAAUGUUUAGAAAAAUUGAUUCCCAUUUCAAUAUUUAGUAUAAUUUACUCCACUUAUCAUGAAAUGCUUCUUCACAAAUUUUAUGAAAACAGGAGCUGCCCCUAUUAAGAACCCCAUGCACCUCAUGCAAUUCUAUGGGUGUUGAAAGAAGUACUUGCUGGCCAAGUGAAAGCCUCAAGACUGAAAGGCAACAUUAUAUUACAGCAGCAGUUGGUUCCUCAAAACAAGAUGCUCACCUGGAAAGAAUUCCGUGUGUUCCCGACCCCCACCCACCCACUGGCUGUGAAGGAGCCCUUCAGGCCCCCGUGUGCCCAGCAAGACAAGCCCCCCAGACACCCCUCACCCGGCAAGACACUGCCCCACUUCAUCACUACGAAAUGUCCAAGAAGAGAGCUAAAUGUAAAACCAAUCACCCACCUUUCCCUAGGAAACCGUCAGCCCAACCUCAACAAACCCUACAUUCCUGCUGACCUUGAAACCACCAGAAAAUAAGAAACAAUUCACCAAGGAAGAAAUACAACUUGUCCUUAAAUACUGAAGAAAGAUGUUCAUUUCAUCCAGGGAAGAGCUGAUGUUGCAGUAUUAAGCCUGGAGGCCAUCUAGAAGCAGAAUUCCCCUCUUCCUUGGAACACUGCAGUCUUUUUCUCUUGAGGCCUUCAACAUAUUGGAAGAGGCCUACCUGCACUGUGGAGGGCCAUCUGCUUUAUUCAAAGUUUACUGAUUUAUUAGGCCGGUGCAAAAGUAAUUGCAGUUUUUGCCACAGUUUUAAUGGCAAAAACCGCAAUUACUUUUGCACCAACCUAAUACAUGUUAAUUACGGCCUGGC
rnacentral:lncRNA from 1 species